rnacentral:rRNA from 1 species
CGGGCUCAAACGCAGGAGGAAAGUUUUUGAAAGGAGGCUGCCAGCAAUGGCCUCCUGCGAGGUGCUGCAUGGUUGUCGUCAGCUCGUGCCGUGAGGUGUCGGCUUAAGUGCCAUAACGAGCGCAACCCCCGCCGCCAGUUGCCAUCAGGUCAAGCUGGGCACUCUGGCGGGACUGCCGGCGCAAGCUGCGAGGAAGGCGGGGAUGACGUCAAAUCAGCACGGCCCUUACGUCCGGGGCGACACACGUGUUACAAUGGCUGGGACAGAGGGAAGCCAGGCGGCGACGCCGAGCGGAGCCCGAAACCCAGCCUCAGUUCGGAUCGGAGUCUGCAACCCGACUCCGUGAAGCUGGAUUCGCUAGUAAUCGCGCAUCAGCCACGGCGCGGUGAAUACGUUCCCGGGCC